CCGCCAGACUCCUACGGGAGGCAGCAGUGGGGAAUAUUGCACAAUGGGCGCAAGCCUGAUGCAGCCAUGCCGCGUGUAUGAAGAAGGCCUUCGGGUUGUAAAGUACUUUCAGCGGGGAGGAAGGCGAUAAGGUUAAUAACCUUGUCGAUUGACGUUACCCGCAGAAGAAGCACCGGCUAACUCCGUGCCAGCAGCCGCGGCAAUACGGAGGGUGCAAGCGUUAUUCGGAAUUACUGGGCGUAAAGCGCGCGCAGGCGGUCUGGCAAGUCGGAUGUGAAAGCCCGGGGCUCAACCUGGGAACUGCAUUGGAAACUGGCAGGCUGGAGUCUGGUAGAGGGGGGUAGAAUUCCAGGUGUAGCGGUGAAAUGCGUAGAGAUCAGGAGGAAUACCGGUGGCGAAGGCGGCCCCCUGGACAAAGACUGACGCUCAGGUGCGAAAGCGUGGGGAGCAAACAGGAUUAGAUACCCCGGUA
rnacentral:rRNA from 1 species